GUGUCAGCAGCCGCGGUAAUACGUAGGUGGCAAGCGUUGUCCGGAAUUACUGGGCGUAAAGGGUGCGCAGGCGGACAUUUAAGUGAGAUGUGAAAGACCCGGGCUUAACUUGGGCAUUGCAUUUCAAACUGGAUGUCUGGAGUGCAGGAGAGGAGAACGGAAUUCCGAGUGUAGCGGUGAAAUGCGUAUAGAGUAGGAAGAACACCAGUGGCGAAGGCGGUUCUCUGGACUGUAACUGACGCUGAGGCACGAAAGGGUGGGUAGAAAACAGGAUUAGAUACCCUGGUAGUCCACGCCGUAAACGAUGAGUACUAGGUGUAGGAGGUAUCGACCCCUUCUGUGCCGCAGUAAACACAAUAAGUACUCCGCCUGGGAAGUACGAUCGCAAGAUUAAAACUCAAAUGAAUUGACGG
rnacentral:rRNA from 1 species